CAGUAGCCGCGGUAAUGCGUAGGUCCCGAGCGUUGUCCGGAUUUAUUGGGCGUAAAGGGAGCGCAGGCGGUUUAGUAAGUCUGAAGUUAAAGGCAUUGGCUCAACCAAUGUAUGCUUUGGAAACUGUUAGACUUGAGUGCAGAAGGGGAGAGUGGAAUUCCAUGUGUAGCGGUGAAAUGCGUAGAUAUAUGGAGGAACACCGGUGGCGAAAGCGGCUCUCUGGUCUGUCACUGACGCUGAGGCUCGAAAGCGUGGGUAGCGAACAGGAUUAGAUACCCCAGUAGUCCCUGUCUCUUAUACC
rnacentral:rRNA from 1 species